UACGUAGGCAGCGAGCGUUGUUCGGAGUUACUGGGCGUAAAGGGUGUGUAGGCGGUUGUUUAAGUUUGGUGUGAAAUCUCCCGGCUCAACUGGGAGGGUGCGCCGAAUACUGAAUGACUUGGAGUGCGGGAGAGGAGAGUGGAAUUCCUGGUGUAGCGGUGAAAUGCGUAGAUAUCAGGAGGAACACCGGUGGUGUAGACGGCUCUCUGGACCGUAACUGACGCUGAGGUGCGAAAGCGUGGGGAGCAAACAGG
rnacentral:rRNA from 1 species